UGCUCAUACAUGCAGUCGAACGAGGUCUUCGGACCUAGUGGCGCACGGGUGAGUAACAUGUGGGAAUCUACCUGAAGGUUCGGAAUAACUGCGGGAAACUGUAGCUAAUACCGGAUGUGUCUGCAAAGAGAAAGAUUUAUCGCCUUCAGAUGAGCCCGCACUAGAUUAGCUAGUUGGUGAGGUAAUUGCUCCACCAAGGCUACGAUCUAUAGCUGAUUUGAGAGGAUGAUCAGCCACACUGGGACUGAGACACGGCCCAGACUCCUACGGGAGGCAGCAGUAGGGAAUAUUGGACAAUGGGGGAAACCCUGAUCCAGCAAUGCCGCGUGAGUGAAGAAGGCCUUCGGGUUGUAAAGCUCUUUCGUCGGGGAAGAAAAUGACUGUACCCGAAUAAGAAGGUCCGGCUAACUUCGUGCCAGCAGCCGCGGUAAUACGAAGGGACCUAGCGUAGUUCGGAAUUACUGGGCUUAAAGAGCUCGUAGGUGGUUAGAAAAGUUAGUGGUGAAAUCCCAAGGCUUAACCUUGGAACUGCCACUAAAACUUUUUAACUAGAGUAUGAUAGAGGAAAGUGGAAUUUCUAGUGUAGAGGUGAAAUUCGUAGAUAUUAGAAAGAACACCAAUUGCGAAGGCAGCUUUCUGGAUCAUUACUGACACUGAGGAGCGAAAGCAUGGGUAGCGAAGAGGAUUAGAUACCCUCGUAGUCCAUGCCGUAAACGAUGUGUGCUAGACGUUGGAAACUUAGUUUUCAGUGUCGCAGCAAAAGCGUUAAGCACACCGCCUGGGGAGUACGACCGCAAGGUUAAAACUCAAAUGAAUUGACGGGGACCCGCACAAGUAGUGGAGCAUGUGGUUUAAUUCGAAGAUACGCGCAGAACCUUACCAACACUUGACAUGUUCGUCGCGACUCUAGAGAUUAGAGUCUUCGGUUCGGCCGGACGAAACACAGUGCUGCAUGGCUGUCGUCAGCUCGUGUCGU
rnacentral:rRNA from 1 species